rnacentral:tRNA from 3 species
GGGCCGGUAGCUCAGUGGAAGAGUACCCGGUUUGCACCCGGGAGGUCGCGGGUUCAAAUCCCGCCCGGUCCA